rnacentral:rRNA from 1 species
AGUAACCUGCCUUGGAGUGGGGAAUAACACAUCGAAAGAUGUGCUAAUACCGCAUAAUGCAGUUGGGCCGCAUGGCUCUGACUGCCAAAGAUUUAUCGCUCCGAGAUGGACUCGCGUCUGAUUAGCUGGUUGGCGGGGUAACGGCCCACCAAGGCGACGAUCAGUAGCCGGACUGAGAGGUUGACCGGCCACAUUGGGACUGAGACACGGCCCAGACUCCUACGGAAGGCAGCAG